GUCUAUAGUUAUACCACCUUGGGCUUUGAUCUUGUCAGAUCUCAUCAACUAAGCAAGAUUGGGCAUGCUGCAUAACUGGGAUAGAAGAGGAAACCCCUGCUGUUGCAGGAA
rnacentral:rRNA from 1 species